rnacentral:rRNA from 1 species
AAUCAACGCUGGCGGCGUGCCUCAGACAUGCAAGUCGAACGAUUAAAGCUCUCUUCGGAGAGUGCAUAAAGUGGCGCACGGGUGAGUAACACGUAAGUAAUCUACCUUCGAGUGGGGAAUAACGUCCGGAAACGGACGCUAAUACCGCAUAACGCAGCGGCAUCGCAAGAUGACAGUUGUUAAAGAUUUAUCGCUUGAAGAGGAGCUUGCGGCAGAUAGCUUGUUGGUAAGGUAACGGCUUACCAAGGCUACGAUCUGUAUCCGGUCUAAGAGGACGGUCGGACACACUGACACUGAAUAACGGGUCAGACUCCUACGGGAGGCAGCAGUCGGGAAUUUUGGGCAAUGGGGGAAACCCUGACCCAGCAACGCCGCGUGAAGGAUGAAAUCCCUCGGGAUGUAAACUUCGCAAAGAACGGGAAGAGUAAGUAGGGGACAAUACCCCCUAUGAUGACGGUACCGUUUGUAAGCUCCGGCUAACUCCGUGCCA